rnacentral:rRNA from 1 species
UGGGGAAUUUUGGACAAUGGGCGCAAGCCUGAUCCAGCAAUGCCGCGUGCAGGAAGAAGGCCUUCGGGUUGUAAACUGCUUUUGUACGGAACGAAAAGGCUCUGGUUAAUACCUGGAGUUGAUGACGGUACCGUAAGAAUAAGCACCGGCUAACUACGUGCCAGCAGCCGCGGUAAUACGUAGGGUGCAAGCGUUAAUCGGAAUUACUGGGCGUAAAGCGUGCGCAGGCGGUUUUGUAAGACAGGCGUGAAAUCCCCGGGCUCAACCUGGGAAUUGCGCUUGUGACUGCAAGGCUGGAGUGCGGCAGAGGGGGAUGGAAUUCCGCGUGUAGCAGUGAAAUGCGUAGAUAUGCGGAGGAACACCGAUGGCGAAGGCAAUCCCCUGGGCCUGCACUGACGCUCAUGCACGAAAGCGUGGGGAGCAAACA